AUGUCCGGAGCGGGAGGCAAGUGGAUGGUCUCCUCCAUUACGAAGGGCCAUGUCAAAAGGCUAAGGAAGGCCGGAUACCUGUCCAAAAACAUCACGCACCGGCUUCCUGAGGAGGGGCAGCUUCUCCCCACCCCAAGGCCCCAUGAGAGGGUAGUAUUUCUUCCCCACUUCCUCCGCGGACUGGGUUUUCCUCUCCACCCAUUUGUCCGCGGGCUCAUGUUCUACUAUGGCCUAGAUUUCCACGAUCUGGCCCCGAACUUCAUCCUCAAUAUCUCGGUGUUUAUCGUCGUGUGCGAGGCUUUCCUCUGCAUCCGCCCCCAUUUCGGCCUCUGGCUCAAGACCUUCAACGUCAAGCCAAAGGUGGUGCGCGGCAACCAGGCGGAGUGCGGAGGUGCCAUGGCGGGCAAAAUAGCCAACGUCCUAUGGCUCGAGGGCUCCUUUGUGGAGACCUUGAAGGGGUGGCAAUCAGGGUGGUUUUACAUCACCGAGCCACGCGAUCUGAAGUGUAUCGCAACCCCUGAAUUCCGAUCCGGACCCCCUACGCGGCUCACGUCCUGGAAGGAGACGGGCUUGUCGUGGGGCGACGAAGAAGAGGUGACCGGACUGCAAAAAUGCAUCCAGUCCCUGGUGAACAAGCAGCUCAAGCUUGUCAACGUAGUCCAGGUCAUGCUCGUCCGCCGGAUCCUUCCGUGUCAAGAACGGGACUUCAAUUUGUGGGAGUUCAACCCGGCGCAGCAGCAAACUCUGAGCAGGCUCUUCGACACGACGUACGAAGAUGUUUGGAAGGGGCUAACCAAAGGCGCCGAGGCUCCCACAUCCGCCUCCAAAGACCGCGGAUUCAGCUCGCAGCGCCCUGCUGGCGAGGAUUGGCAGGCAAAGUCCGGACUGAUUAACUAUCUGGCUCCCUUGCCCGAAGACCCAGCCCCUGCUCUCCUAGUGAAGCUGCUGGUUCCGGCACCUUAUGUGGUGCCGGAGAAGAAGGCCAAGAAGAAGAAGUCCACAGGGACUCGAAAGAGUUCCUGGCAUAUGGUGGUGUCGGACUCGUCGUCCAAUGAAUCCGAGACGCACUCCUCCCGUGAAGACGAGGAGGAGGAAGAAGAGACCUCUCCCCCUCCAGCGGGGGGAGGAAAGAAGAGGAAGGCCGCCCUAGUAGGGGAGGCCGAAGGGCCCAAGAAGAGGAAAACCCCUCCGCCGGACUACGCCCCCGACGCCGACGAGGACGAAGAGGAGUGGCCGGAUAGGGGAAAGCGUCAGGCGAAAUCCCCGCCCAAGGACGGGCCCGACGAGUCGUUGAGCGGCUCCCUGGAUUCAUCAGACGUGAAUUCAGUUCCGCCCGCUGCCUCCCCCCUGUGCUGCGGAUGA
rnacentral:rRNA from 1 species